rnacentral:rRNA from 1 species
CUUUCUUUGCUGGCGACCGGCGCACGGGUGAGUAACACGUAUCCAACCUGCCCUUUACUCGGGGAUAGCCUUUCGAAAGAAAGAUUAAUACCCGAUAGCAUAAUGAUUCCGCAUGGUUUCAUUAUUAAAGGAUUCCGGCAAAGGAUGGGGAUGCGUUCCAUUAGGUUGUUGGUGAGGUAACGGCCCACCAAGCCUUCGAUGGAUAGGGGUUCUGAGAGGAAGGUCCCCCACAUUGGAACUGAGACACGGUCCAA